CUGACAGACCCAGUCUGACAAUGGGAGAGAGCAAUUCCUGCUUAAGGAUUCGGGCUUUGAAGUCCUGAGUUUACCCAUGUUGGUGGCACCAAGAGACUGGUUUAUCUGAUGCCACCUGGGCAGGAGCCUGCAUGUGAAUGGUUGGGAGAGCUGCACAAAAACCCAGCCAUCCCUUGCCUGCUCUUGUUGGAGCUAUAAUUAGACUAUCCAGUUAAUGAGUAAAAGAUACCUCAGAAAAUAGCUGCUUGUGCUGUGCCUUGUGCCUAAGGCUACCCCAAAACAAUCAGGGGACUGUGGGUGCCCUAAGCACGGGGCUGUGCUGGUUUUCUGCUCCCGUGCUGCUCCAAGCAGAGCAGCCACACACAUCCUUGCCAUUCUGCCAAGCAAGAGGCUGCAAACUCACUCGGGACUCUGGGUCCCAAGGAGGGCUGCUAAGCUCUCCCCAGCUGUUUUCUGAUAAGCUUUGGUGCUUUGCAAUUCCCCUUUCCAAUUACCAGCCCUGCUCCCUUCACUGGCCGGGUCUGAUGUAUACUGAUGGCUCAGCAGCUACAUAGGGGCUUUUGGGUUGAGUGAUGGAGGAGGUGGGAGGCACGGCAAUGCAAAGCAGGGACAUGCACCAGGAAUUCAGGUGGUGUCACCUCGCAGCUCUCUUUGGCAGAAGCCCCUAAAGUAGUCCUCGUGGCUGAGGAUGGAGUCACCUGGGUGUAUGGUGCAGCAAUGGCCCUGAUGAGAAACACCUGUCAGAAAAGACUUUAGCUGAUAGAGGAGAUUGAAGCAUCGGAGUACUGAGGGUACUGCGGUGUGUCUGUCACCAAAGGCCAAAUGGGAAAACAACAUUUUGAAAUGGCUUGGGUAUAACUGACCUGUUUGGAUACCCUUCGGUUCCCAAAGACCACAUCCCCCAGAGCUGCUUUUUAUAGCAAUGCAGUCAAAGGGAACUCAAAUUUAACACCAAAAUCAUGAUUUUGGGAACGGUGGGCUUGACACUUUCCCUUACCAUAGGCACAUUCUGUUUUUUGCAACAUCUCUACAAAAUCAUUUGCAGCCCCAGCAUCGAUGUCCAUCAUCUCCCAGCCACCGUGUAGCUGUCCUGGUCCUGCAGCCACUGGCAAGCUGCUGCCUCACCAUGCUGCGGGGUGCCCCAUGGGUGCUGAGUGGAAACCUGGCUUCCUCUUGAUGCAGGCAGAGGACAACCAGGUGCCCUGCAUCCCUACAGCAGGCUUUGUGCCUGAGACUGCUUUGCAAGGCUGAGCUCUGACCCAGGCUGGUACCGAGGUUUUAUUGGUGUGAGACUGGAGUCAGGCUCAGGCUGCUGCUUCAGCAUCAGAGCGAAUGUGUGUGAAUCGUGACGAUCUAGCCUCAGUUUUGAAAGAAAAGAGGCAACAAGCUCGACCCAACAACUAUCCUGAGACCCCUGUGGAAAGUAAUAAUCUUGAACAAGCCAGUGCAAGCUAUGUUUUCAAUUUAUAAAUUAAAUGUAUUUAAAAUUUAUGAACUUUGACUGCACGAGUAACUACUUCAUUAGACUUUAAGGCUGCAUGUUUCCUUGGCUUUUUGCGUGGUAAAGUGAAACACAUUUCUAAUAAACAUGG
ensembl:lncRNA